CCAGACUCCUACGGGAGGCAGUAGUGCGGAAUAUUGGUCACUGGGCGAGAGCCUUCCCCAGCCAAUUCGCUUGAGGGAGUACUGCACUAUGGGUUUUCCCCCUCUUUUGUCUUUGAGCAAAAGCCGGCCGUGUCCUUCUUUUAGAGUACCCUCCGCAAAAGCAUCUUCUCACUCCGUUCCCUCCGCCGCGGUCCUCCGGAGGAUGCGCGCUUUAUCCGGAUGCAUUGGGUUUAAAGGGUGCGUAGGUUGGUUGAUAAGUUAGCGGGGAAAUACCGAGGGUAAACAUCGGGGCUGCCGCUAAUACUGUAGGACUAGAGAUCGGAUGCAGCAGGCGGAAUGUGUAGUGUAGCGGGGAAAUGCAUAGAUAGGAAAAAGAACACCGAUUGCGAAGGCAGCUUGCUAGGCCGGAUCUGACACUGAUGCACGAAAGCGUGGGGAGCGAACAGGAUUAGAUACCCGAGUAAG
rnacentral:rRNA from 1 species